CGCCGGGCGCGGACCGCGCACGCGUAGAGUUUCGGAACGCUGUAUGCCGCGGUCUUCCCGCGUGGGGACUGGACUUCCGAAUUCGCUCACCCUCAGCUGCCUCCCCUGUAGUUCAUUGUUCUCCCCUAACUGCCCGUAUGUUGGAGAUGCAUUUCGGGUGAAAAUUGCACCCCGUGUAAGUGGACUGUCACUCUCCUUGUGGUUGCUCCCUGAACGAUCGGAUUCAGCUCUGAGCAAAUUGUGGGUCCCACGUGCUUGACCAGGAUAAGUACAAAGUUUGCAGGCUAGUUGGAGACUCCAAACCUGCCCUGGUGAGGCAUAGCCCUUCUGGCUUGGAAUCUGCAGGGAAGUGAUGACUUCUCUUUUUGGACCCAACUAGUGGCCACUCCCCGUCACAGCUGUAGUGUGGGAGAGCAGGGUUACGUGUUGAGCUUGUUCUCCAUGGUUUGCACAGUUCCUGAUUUUGACAUUCUGUACUUCAUAAGUAUCCAGGGCCUUGUAACUACCUUGCUUAAUGUACAGCUUUGACCAGGCAACUGUAAGCUCCACCAGGGCAGGAGCCAUGUGUAUUUUGUUCCAUGCAGUGUUCCCUAGUGCCUGUUAAAUGCAUGAACUCUUAGGUUUUUUAGUAUUACAAGAAAUGACUGACAUUGAAAUUCAUC